UACGUAGGGGGCUAGCGUUGUCCGGAAUCAUUGGGCGUAAAGAGCGUGUAGGCGGUCCGGUAAGUCCGCUGUGAAAGUCGGGGGCUCAACCCUCGAAUGCUGGUGGAUACUGUCGGGCUAGAGUGCGGAAGAGGCGAGUGGAAUUCCUGGUGUAGCGGUGAAAUGCGCAGAUAUCAGGAGGAACACCUAUUGCGAAGGCAGCUCGCUGGGACGUUACUGACGCUGAGACGCGAAAGCGUGGGGAGCAAACAGG
rnacentral:rRNA from 1 species